GCUGGCGGGCGGCCGUGACACUGGUGGAGUCCGGCGGGGGCCUCCCGCCCCCCGGGGGGGCCCUGACCCUCGCCUGCAAGGCCUCAGGCUUCACUUUCAGCAGCUACGGCAUGGGAUGGAUGCGCCAAGCGCCUGGGAAGGGCCUGGAUUGGGUCGCGGGUAUUGCCAGCAGUGGUGGCACCUACUACGCGCCAGGGGUGCAGGGGCGCUUCACCAUCUCCAGGGACAACUCCCAGAGCACGGUGACGCUGCGGAUGAGCGGCCUCAAGGCCGACGACACGGCCACCUACUACUGCGCCAAAGAUUAUACUGGUGAUAACGGUUAUGCUGUUGCUGAUCUUGACCAUUUGACCUAA